rnacentral:rRNA from 1 species
UACGGGGGGGGCAAGCGUUGUUCGGAAUUACUGGGCGUAAAGGGCUCGUAGGUGGCCAACUAAGUCAGACGUGAAAUCCCUCGGCUUAACCGGGGAACUGCGUCUGAUACUGGAUGGCUUGAGAUUGGGAGAGGGAUGCGGAAUUCCAGGUGGAGCGGUGAAAUGCGUAGAGAUCUGGAGGAACACCAAAGGCGAAGGCAGUGUCCUGGGAGGCACCUGACGCUCAGGCGCGAAAGCCAGGGGAGCGAACGGG